GACGAACGCUGGCGGCGUGCUUAACACAUGCAAGUCGAACGAUGAAGCUGGAGCUUGCUCCGGUGGAUUAGUGGCGAACGGGUGAGUAACACGUGAGCAAUCUGCCCUUGACUCUGGGAUAACUGCGGGAAACUGUAGCUAAUACCGGAUACGACACCUUCGGGCAUCCGAUGGGUGUGGAAAGAAUUUCGGUCAAGGAUGAGCUCGCGGCCUAUCAGCUAGUUGGUGAGGUAACGGCUCACCAAGGCGACGACGGGUAGCCGGCCUGAGAGGGUGACCGGCCACACUGGGACUGAGACACGGCCCAGACUCCUACGGGAGGCAGCAGUGGGGAAUAUUGCACAAUGGGCGCAAGCCUGAUGCAGCAACGCCGCGUGAGGGACGAAGGCCUUCGGGUUGUAAACCUCUUUUAGCAGGGAAGAAGCGAAAGUGACGGUACCUGCAGGAAAAGCACCGGCUAACUACGUGCCAGCCGCCGCCGUAACAC
rnacentral:rRNA from 1 species